GACGAACGCUGGCGGCGUGCUUAACACAUGCAAGUCGAACGGAAAGGCCCUGCGUUUGUGGGGUGCUCGAGUGGCGAACGGGUGAGUAACACGUGAGUAACCUGUCCUUGACUUUGGGAGAUCUCCAGGAAACUGGGGCGAUUACAGGAUAGGAGCUCCUGCUGCAUGGUGGGGGUUGGAAAGUUUCGGCGGUUGGGGAUGGACUCGCGGCUUAUCAGCUGGUUGGGGGGGUAGUGGCUGACCAGGGCUUUGACGGGUAGCCGGCAUGAGAGGGUGGCCGGCCACAUUGGGACUGCGAUACGGCCCAGACUCCUACGGGCGGCAGCAGUGGGGAAUAUUGCACAAUGGGCGGAAGCCUGAUGCAGCAACGCCGCGUGCGGAAUGACGGCCUUCGGGUUGUAAACCGCUUUCGCCUGUGACGAAGCGUGCGUGACGGUAAUGGGUAAAGAAGCACCGGCUAACUACGUG
rnacentral:rRNA from 1 species